AGCCGAGAUUGCAGCACUGCACUCCAGCCUGGGCAACAGAGUGAGACUCCGUCUCCAAAAAAAAAAAGAAUCCAACAUCCAUAUCAAAUGACCUCUUCAAAGCUGUUACCUUAGUAGCAACCCUUAUUCCACACUGACAUUGCCAUUAUUCAGAGCACUUUUAAAACUCCCUUUUCAAAUUGUUUUCAGAUCUGCACAGGAAACUCCAACCUGUUUUACUAUAACCAACACUUUGGUUUUAUACCAGAAUAGUAUUGAUUUCCCAUCUUAUUCUUCUUAGUUCUGAAUGACCUGGAUAUUUCUAAAAAUAACACCCACUCUCAAAAAAACUGGUAUUUGCCACCACUAAAUAUAGUCAAAAGAAUUUUGACAUAAGUAUUGAAUGCCAAGGUAUUUUUGAAAUCAGAAUAAAGCCUAAAGUGAUGGCUUUGAAAUAAUCUCAUUUACAGGUAUAAGUUUUGUCCUCUGGUUGUAAAGUUGUAUAGUUCAGUGAGAGGUAUAUAUAAAUAAACUACCCUUAUGCAAAGGUACCAACCGCUGGUACAACUGGAGAAGAUUCUUUAGUAUCUCAACCUUGAUUCUCCUCUGGCCUGGCUUUGUUCCUGUUUCUAGAUGGAGCUCCAUUUAGCCACCCAAUGGGCUUGCUUCAAAAGUACUGUUCGUUAUCACAUGGCCAUCUGGCCAGGGUCAGGACAGGUCCUUGGGUUUACUGCGUUGACCCCAGACUGUCUUAGCCACCAGAGCACCUGUUGAUACCUCAACAUUGGAAAGUGUUGAAAAGCAGCACUGAAACAACCCAGGAUCGUUUGUCGAGAAGGUAGGGAAGGAGAGAGGAAGGGGCUUCAAAAAUAGUAUGGUACUAAGAAAGCACUGUGCGAAAUCACCUGUUUACACAAAUGCUUUCUGUGAUAAUCAAAAAUGCAAUGACAUUUCCUGAAUGUGAACCUUAACAUUUAGUCAUCUAUUUGCCCUAGGACAGAUUUGAAAAUGAGCAAUGCUUGACCAGAUUGGCCUGAUGUUCUUGUGGGCAGGUGGUAAGACCCUUAGACCCUUAGGGGUAUUGGAGGUUAGCUUUGACAACAUUGAGAUGAUCCAGCAGUCUUAGUGGUGCCAGCCAAGAAGCUUAAAAUAGAUCUGCAUGUGGGUCUGAGAUGCUCUUACCCUGAUGGUUACUGAUUUACUGUGGCCUUUGCCAAAAUCAGCAGUCACAGGGAAAAGAGGCUGGCUUACCAUACCCCUCUAGCAGCUGUUUCCCUACAGGUCUUGGCUAGGAAAUCAGCAAGAAAUUGCUAAGUAACUAAAGAAUGGCUACCUGUUUAAUUACCAUCUCAGUGUCAGCAGUUGCUUCUUUGAAAUUAAGUUGUUUGGAGUUAGCAGUGAGAUUGACGAAUCAUCUAUACAAAAGAAACAACAGGUACUGUGGUUCAUCUCCUUUGGACGAGAGACUGUUCUAGAUGCUUUCACAUUUGUCUCAUUUCAUAUUUGAAAAGGAAUCCAUUCUCAUCAGAAUUCAUGAGACAGUAGAAUGUUCAAGGGAGAAGAAAGCUUUAUUCUCUUGCAAAAUGAGGGACCAAAGGCUCUUGGCUGGCAGGCAGGAAGUUUCUGUGUACUAAUUGAACAUGACAAAGAAUACAAAAAGUAGGUGUCUGGGGUUGCUUAAUGAUAGAAUUCAAGUGCUUUACCAAGAGGAUUGCAUGCCGAUGGACCUGAGAUUGGCACAGACUUCAAAAAUUCCUGUUAGUUAGGCUGUCUUCAAAUACUAAAGAUGACAUGUAUGGGCAAGAGGGGAGAGAUGAAAGGGGAAGUGUCGGUGUUACUAUCUGGGCAUCAGACAAUUUGGCAAGAUUAAUUUUUUAUUUAGUAUAAUUCUGUAGGUGGAUUCCCCAAAGCACAGAGGAUAUGAGGUAGAGGACAGGCUUCAGGGGAGCUGAGACAGUGGGGUGUGUCUAGAGCACUUCUUACAGUAGGUGCCAGUCAUGGCUGCCCCGAAGCAGGUCCUGCCAAUCUACAGACUUCAGUAGGAGUCACCAAGCUGUGAACUCAAAAAUAGUAGUGGUCGAUCUGCAUACUUUUUAAAAGCUAUAAUUCUUUGCUUAUCUUAACUACUUAGAGUAUAAGCUUUUCAAGAACAGGGAACAUGUCUUUUUACCCACCAAUACAAACCCAUGACCUGGCAUAUAGUGAAAACUAACAGGUAGCAGAUGCUUCCUUUCUAUCAUCCUCUGCUCUAAGUGCACUGACUCCUUAUGAGGCAGGCAUUUUUCUUAUAUCUGUUUCACAGGAGAGGAAACUGAAUCUCAGUGAGGGUAAUUUGCCCCAGGAUCGCAUAAGUGAGAAGUUGUGGAGCCAUCUACUCCAGAGCUUGCACGCCAAGGCACUAUGUUAUAGUAUAGUGACCACUGCGUAUAAUAGGAGCUCGAUGAUGAAUGGACUUGUUUUAAAUGAAGGAAAAGAAAACGACAUGUUUCAACAGGGCUGCUCACAACAUGGCAGCUGGCUUUCCCCAGAGCGAGUAAUCUGAGAGAGACAGACAACGAGAGAGAGACCAAGACAGAAGCUACAACAUCUUUUACAACUAUCUUGGAAGUGAAAUACAAUUACUUUUGUACCCUGGUAAAAUUUGAGAAAGCAUUCCACAGGGGUAUGAAUUCCAGCAGAAAUCACUGGAGGCCAUCUUGGAGGCUGCCAAUCACAUUUCAGGGAACUGCUGGCUCAGUGUUCGGUUUUCAUUCCACGAAUCCAUGACUCACGAAUCAAUGACCUGGAUAAAUGAACACUGAGGAUCUCAGUUGCAGUUGGCAAUUACCCUCCCUUUUGAUGGCACUUAUUCUAUUCUGCGUCUGGAAAUUCCAUUACCACUUGAAGUAUGUAUAAAUGGAUGUCACCCUGAAGGUUUAAACACAACCCCUAUUACUUAGCCAAGACUGUUCUGAACAAUGGUGUUUACUAAUUAGCUCAAUUUCAAUUUCAAUUUCAAUUCUCAAGCCAUUGCUAUGUGCCUGUGGUAUUUGAAUGUUCUUAUAACUUUCUUUACAUCUUGGGGCUUCCCUUCAGGGCCUGUUGUGGUAUGCCAGUUUGCAAAUAAGGUGAUCAGUUUUGUCUAGGGAGAGAAACUUCUCUUUACAUUUGACUUAGUUCUAU